rnacentral:rRNA from 1 species
CCUACGGGGGGCAGCAGUGAGGAAUAUUCGGCAAUGGGGGAAACCCUGACCGAGCAACGCCGCGUGGAGGAAGACGGUUUUUGGAUUGUAAACUCCUUUUCGGUGGGAAGAGCGAGGACGGUACCACCGGAAUAAGUCACGGCUAACUACGUGC